GGAUAUAGCUUAAUCAGUAGAGUGCUUGCCUUGCAUGCACAAAGCCCUGGGUUCAAUCCUCAGUACCA
rnacentral:tRNA from 1 species